GACAGAGGGUGCAAACGUUGUUCGGAAUUACUGGGCGUAAAGCGCGUGUAGGCUGCUUCGCAAGUCGGAUGUGAAAGCCCUGGGCUCAACCUAGGAAGUGCAUUCGAAACUGCGGAGCUCGAGUCCUGGAGAGGAAGGCGGAAUUCUCGGUGUAGAGGUGAAAUUCGUAGAUAUCGAGAGGAACACCUGUGGCGAAGGCGGCCUUCUGGACAGUGACUGACGCUGAGACGCGAAAGCGUGGGGAGCAAACAGG
rnacentral:rRNA from 1 species